UCCGCAUCUGCACCUUGUUUUACUGUGCAGGGGUUGGCUCACAAGAAGAACUCAACCUGGAGUGCCACCCUAAGAAGAAUAAUUAAUCUACCAGCUGAGCUCCCCAUGGACAAGGCCAGUUGGAUGGUCAACUCCAUUGAUAAUAAUCACAAAGGUGGAAACGACCCACACGUCCAUCAAGUGAUGAGCAGAUAAACAAAUGGGAUCUAUCCGUUCAAUGGAAUAUUAUUCAGCCACAGAAAGGAAUGAAGCACUGACACACGCUCUAUAACACGCAGGACCCUCGAAAACACCAGAGUCAGACACAAAGGCCACAUACUGUACGACCCCUUUCAACUGAAACACCCAGAACAGCCUAGAGCCACCAGCCUUCUGGGGCCUGCAGCCCCUCUUGUCUACCAGUAGCCUGCAGAGUCAGCCGUGGGGGCAGUGCCCUCUGCUCCUCUCCAGACUGGCAGGCAGGCCUGGUCGAUUCUGCUGGAGUGGAAAAGGGUGGUGGAAAAGGCAGGGCUGGCUAAGCAGAGGCAAACCAGGGAAGCGUCUGCCCCCAGUAAGGCCUUCCUUCCAGCCCCCACUUCCUCCCUCCAGUGGACACGGCUCCAAGAGAAAAAGAAGACCAGAUGGGUCAGGGGCCAGGACACCCACUCCUGACCCCCAGCUCGCUUAGAGUGCAGUAUCUCCCAGCGCUUCCCAAGGAACGUCUUCAAGAGAAGGGCCCUGCUCUGAGUCAUCUGAAGCAGCAAGGAGACCUUGUAAAAAUAACUCCAAGUAUGAGGCUCCUGUAUUCACAUUAUUCAUGACACAAAGAACAAAAAAGCAGGGCAGGAAGCAGAGGAGGAGAGUGUCGUUCACAUCGGUUUUCUUCACAUGAUAAGCAGCCAGGAGCUCUCUUGCUGAGUCCCACUGCUCUCUCUCUCCUCGGAGCCAUUACAUAAGCUGGAGAGAGGGUCGUCUUUGAAACCUUCUCACUCUCCCACCCACCCCUCAUCACCUGCCACCUCCAAAGCUGGACCUUCCCGGUAGCUGGCCUUGCCAGGACUCAGAGGGACUCAGGCUGUUCCCUCUCCUGGCUGUCGGUCCCGAAAUAGGGAAUUCCACCGAAGCCCCCAGCGCCCCCGCCGAGCACCAGGGGUGGGACUUCUGGCACCGUGACCGUGUGAGGGAGGAUCUCCAGUGGAGGCCGGCGGGGCUGGCCAGAUUCCUGAAGGCACAUGUGGUGGGGCUUCCUUGGAAGACCUUGGAUUUCAAAAUGUUCGGACAUCCGGGCUGUGUGGCCUUGGGAACUGGCCUGGUCAUACUCAGGGCUUCCUGGGCUCCAAGAGGGGAGGUGCCACUGACUCACUUCCACUCAGUUUUCUGGAAGACAUGGUCUUUAGGAGUCACGGAGGCAAGGAUGGGGAUUUUGAGACAAUGAAGAGAGCCUAGUAAGAGGAAACAUCAAGGAAGAAGACAAGAGUAGGGAGAAAAGAGAAAUAAGGGAUCCCGGGUGGGAGGGGACAGGCAGAGGUGUGGCCAUAAAGCUUUUAUUUAGUGCUUAUUAAACACAGCCCUUUAUAGGGAGCCAUCACAGUGGUGAUCCCAACCUCUCAUGGCUUAUAAUUAAGAACAAACUAAUAACUACUUUUAGACAAGUGCACGGACAUGUUAGGAAAUAAAAAUCUCAACCAAGGCCUGGUAAAUAUAAGUCACAGCUAAAGUCAGAACUCUGCCUAAUGCCAGUCAAAGAAGAAAUAUCAGCAAAUCCAUCACUUUGUGCUAUUUACACAAGGAAACGCUUUAUAGUAUGAUUCUACCCUGACUGCAGACUCUUGACCAACACGCAUCUGUGGCACACAACGAGGAGCCAAGCUCACUCAAGGCUUUCAAAUGUCUGCAGUGACGUCAGGGCAGAGACCCUAACAAAUCUCGUGAAAUAAAGUUCAUGCAUCCAAAAAGUGCUGGUUGAGCACCUGUUAUGUGCUAGGCAUUGUUCUGAGUGAUGGGGACACAAUGGUGAACAAAGAAAACAAAAUCCCUACCCCUGUGGAGCUUUCAUUUUAAUAGGGGGAAACAGAAAAUAAACAAUUAAAAUAC
rnacentral:lncRNA from 1 species